rnacentral:lncRNA from 1 species
UUUCAUAAUCAAAAUUCGAAGAAACACAUAACACAUAACAUUUGAAUAACAUAACAAAAAGGAAAUACAACAAAAUCAAACCUUCAAUUCGUAUCCCCAAUCUUACCCUAUAUCAACUUAACAACAAAACGAGUAUGAAUUCCAAUCAUUUAACUUAGAAUCAGACCCAAAAUAGCAUCAUCAUAAGGAAUAAGUAAUAACAUUUAAAUUUACUUUUAGUUAUAAUCUUCACAUGAACAAAUAAACCAACUGCACUUUGUAACUUGAAGAAUACCGCACAACGCAUUUGGACAAUCUUGG